UGGGCCCGCCGCCACGUGUCCGCGUGCGGUGUGGGCACGAGGACCCAACUUCCUACUGCGAAACGGCGACCUCAGCCCGUGGGUUGCUUCUGUGUCUUGGCGGUUGUGGACGCGCCGUGAACACGGGUGUGCAGGCAUCUCUAGGACACGGGGAUUUUGUUUCCUUUGGAUUCACACCCACAAGCGGAACUGCUGGGCCAUACGGCGGUCCUAUCACUCGGGUUUGAAGGAAGUCCUUUUUGAGGAGUCUGUGGGUGAAGAGAGGCGAGUGGUGUUUCGCUGGGAGCUGCUUCGGGCUGGAAGAGGCCACGCGGGGAACAGGACUGCAGGAGAGGGCCUGAGGGGUCCUUUGGACCAGGAUCCGUCUCCUCCAGAACCCGGCAGGUGGCGUCGCUGAUGUGGACACACCUUCACAGGUGCCCUGCUGACGCCCAGGUGACUUUUGUAGCUUUUCCUCGGACCCAAGGGCUAACUUCCUCCCCCUCUGGGUUUUCCUCUUUCAAAACUCUGCAUAGCUGCUAAUGGAUGGCAUAGGGAUAAUGCAGGUC